GACGAACGCUGGCGGCGUGCUUAACACAUGCAAGUCGAACGGUGAAGCUCCAGCUUGCUGGCGUGGAUCAGUGGCGAACGGGUGAGUAAAACGUGAGCAACCUGCCCCUGACUCUGGAAUAAGCGCUGGAAACGGCGUCUAAUACUGGAUACGAGAUGUUUCCGCAUGGGCACUUUCUGUAAAGUUUUUCGGUUGGGGAUGGGCUCGCGGGCUAUCAGCUUGUUGGUGAGGUAAUGGCUCACCAAGCCUACGAAGGGUAGCCGGCCUGAGAGGUCGACCGGCGACACUGGGACUGAGACACGGCGCAGACUCCUACGGGAGGCAGCAGUGGGGAAUAUUGCACAAUGGGCGAAAGCCUGAUGCAGCGACGCCGCGUGAGGGAUGACGGCCUUCGGGUUGUAAACCUCUUUCAGCAGAGAAGAAGCGAAAGUGACGGUACCUGCAGAAGAAGCACCGGCUAACUACGUG
rnacentral:rRNA from 1 species